AUUGAACGCUGGCGGCAUGCUUUACACAUGCAAGUCGAACGGCAGCGCGGGCUUCGGCCUGGCGGCGAGUGGCGAACGGGUGAGUAAUACAUCGGAACGUGCCCAGUAGUGGGGGAUAGCUCGGCGAAAGCCGGAUUAAUACCGCAUACGACCUGAGGGUGAAAGCGGGGGAUCUUCGGACCUCGCGCUAUUGGAGCGGCCGAUGGCAGAUUAGCUAGUUGGUGGGGUAAAGGCCUACCAAGGCGACGAUCUGUAGCUGGUCUGAGAGGACGACCAGCCAGACUGGGACUGAGACACGGCCCAGACUCCUACGGGAGGCAGCAGUGGGGAAUUUUGGACAAUGGGCGAAAGCCUGAUCCAGCAAUGCCGCGUGUGUGAUGAAGGCCUUCGGGUUGUAAAGCACUUUUGGCGGGAACGAAAAGGACUGUGCAAAUACCACGGUUCGAUGACGGUACCCGCAGAAUAAGCACCGGCUAACUACGUG
rnacentral:rRNA from 1 species